UCCUCCUUCAGAAGAUUAUGUAGCUCGUAUCUGCAGUCAUCUAGCCUUCUCAGAUCAGAACUAUCCACAACCCACACCAAGCCAUCAGUUUGCUCAAAAUAGUUUCUCCAAUAAGACCGUAUUGUUUUCUGCCCCCCAACAUCCCAUAUAUUGAGGGUAUACCUGCAGCAUGUCAGGUUAACUUGAAAUCAGCUAUUUUGAAAUUUCAGGAAAAGAAUCUCAUUUCUAACAAGGGUCAGUUAGAAGGAAUUUUAAACUACUAAAAUGAUUUAAACACACCAGAUAGUAAUUUCAAAGACAUACAUGCUGACAUAACUCUGUUUCUGUUGUGUUUUUAAAUGGAUGGAGCAGCAAAAUUAUUAGAACUGAUUGAAAUUGUCUCUGAAGUUUUAUUAAGUAUAGAGAGUUAAAUAGUCAAUUAAAAAACAAAAAAUGUGCAAAAUUCUGUAGAAUAAAAUUUUAAAAACCUCAAAUAUAUCACUUAGACUUAUCUAACUAAACCUAAAAUUUUAAAUUAGAACAAAGACUUCUCCUACAACUAAACUAAUUAUUCUAGUAAAUCAACACUAACAAAAGCAAAUAUUCAACACUCUUCCUUUGCUUCAAUUACUGCAAUCUGAAAAGUUGAUCCUCCUCAACUUAUGCUUUUGUUGUUUGUGAUGGAGGAUUGUUUUGAACAUCUUUGAACUUGCAACUUUCAUAAUAUGGUUUGUUUGUUUGAAAUUUCCACAUAUUGCAAUAGGUCUCCACCAAUAAUUUUUGUUCUAGGUGUGUGUUUUCUUUUUGAAGUAUCCGUAAAAAGGAUAAUUAACCUUUUCUCUUUUGUUUAUAAAAGCACACACAGUUGCAUUGUCUUAUAUAAAUUAUAAAGGCUCUUCUUUGUGCUUGAAGAACACUUACUAAUUCUUUAACAAAAACAGUAGUUCAACAGAGACAAUAGAGAGAUUUUUAGACUCUUCUAGACGGGAGAUUUUAGAUUCGAAUAUCUCUGAAACUGUCACAAGAAUUUUUUUCAACUAUUCUGUCAUCUUUGAAAUCCUUGCCAAGCAACCUGAUUCUAUUAACGAUUAAAAAAAAAUCUUGUUAUUACACUAAGUAAUAGUCUCAUUCUUUCAUCCUAAGAGAUUCAAAAUCUCUUUUCAAAUUACAAAUCUGUAUUUGUCUAACUCAAUCACUUCCUUAGUAGUCUUUUUUGAGUUUUUCCCAAGUUCUUUUGUUGUCUCACAUGCAAUGAUUUUAUAGAAAAUCGAAUCUGCAACUGAAUUUUGAAUUACAGUUUUGGCAUUGUAUUUUUUGGUUCUCUGCAGAAUGAGCUUUAAUUUGGACUCUGGACUUCACUAAUGAAGCCCCAAAAAAUUUAUGUCUCUGGCAGGAUAAAACCGAGAACUCUACUUGCUAUGCAAAACAUAGUCAUGCCCAAGCUUGAAUUAAAAAAAAAGGGUGUGGUAGGUUGAUGUAAUGUAAAAAAAUAGGCUAUCAAUGAGUACACGGAGGAUUCAUAUAGCUGAUCCCAACUGUUUCAGGAUAAAAAUAUAGUUGAUUAAUUGACAUCAUAAACCAAUGCCCUCGAAAGUAAUUCAAAAGGUAAGAAUCAAGAGUAUGUUUAAAUGAACCAAUUCUAAUUUUAGGAUUCAACUAAUCACAUAAAUAUUGCCUGACAAAAUACAUCUUGAACAUGUAGGUUACAGUUAAAUGAGUAACAACUAUAAAUAGGAAUCAAAACAUUAUUGAAGCAGGAUAACAGAAUGCAGAUCUAAGAAACAAAACAGAAAGAAAGCAGAGAAACCAUACUUCUGAUAUGUAAUGGUUUUGAUGUUGAAGCCAAGAGUUGGACUGAUGACACUUGUG
rnacentral:lncRNA from 1 species